rnacentral:rRNA from 1 species
GAUGAACGCUGGCGGCGUGCUUAACACAUGCAAGUCGAACGAAGCACUUUAUUUGAUUUCCUUCGGGACUGAUUAUUUUGUGACUUAGUGGCGGACGGGUGAGUAACGCGUGGGUAACCUGCCUUGUACAGGGGGAUAACAGUUGGAAACGGCUGCUAAUACCGCAUAAGCGCACGGCAUCGCAUGAUGCAGUGUGAAAAACUCCGGUGGUAUAAGAUGGACCCGCGUUGGAUUAGCUAGUUGGUGAGGUAACGGCCCACCAAGGCGACGAUCCAUAGCCGACCUGAGAGGGUGACCGGCCACAUUGGGACUGAGACACGGCCCAAACUCCUACGGGAGGCAGCAGUGGGGAAUAUUGCACAAUGGGCGAAAGCCUGAUGCAGCGACGCCGCGUGAGCGAAGAAGUAUUUCGGUAUGUAAAGCUCUAUCAGCAGGGAAGAUAAUGACGGUACCUGACUAAGAAGCACCGGCUAAAUACGUG